UGAAAUGCGAUAAGUAGUGUGAAUUGCAGAAUUUAGUGAAUUAUUGAAUCUUUAAACGCACAUUGCGCCCCUUGGUAUUCUAUGGGGCAUGCCUGUUUGAGCGUCAUUUGUACCUUCAAGCUCUGCUUGGUGUUAGGUGUUUGUCUUGCCUUUGCGUGUAGACUCGCCUUAAAAUAAUUGGCAGCCGGCGUAUUAAUUUUGGAGCGCAGUAUAUCUUGCGCUUUGCACUUAUAACGAUGACGUCUAAAAAGUACUUUUUACACUCUUGACCUCGGAUCAGGUAGGGAUACCUGCUGAACUUAA
rnacentral:misc_RNA from 1 species